AGAGUUUGAUCCUGGCUCAGGAUGAACGCUAGCGGCAGGCUCAACACAUGCAAGUCGAACGGUAACAGGGUAGCAAUACCGCUGACGAGUGGCGCACGGGUGCGUAACGCGUAUGCAACUUACCUUAAACUGGGAGAUAGCCCCUCGAAAGAGGGAUUAAUACCCCAUAGUAAUUAGAUGAGGCAUCUCAUUUAGUUUAAAGCUCAGGCGGUUUAAGAUAGGCAUGCGUGACAUUAGCUAGUUGGUGAGGUAAUGGCUCACCAAGGCUACGAUGUCUAGGGGUUCUGAGAGGAUGAUCCCCCACACUGGUACUGAGACACGGACCAGACUCCUACGGGAGGCAGCAGUAAGGAAUAUUGGACAAUGGGCGCAAGCCUGAUCCAGCCAUGCCGCGUGCAGGAUGACGGUCCUAUGGAUUGUAAACUGCUUUUUAUACGAGAAGAAACAUCCCCGACGUGUCGGGACUUGACGGUAUCGUAGAAUAAGGAUCGGCUAACUCCGUGCCAGCAGCCCCGGUAAUACGGAGGAUCCAAGCGUUAUCCGAAUCCUGGGUUUAAAGGGUCC
rnacentral:rRNA from 1 species